UGUUUACUCCACAUUUCUUAACUUUUGGGGGAAAUGCCCUCAAUGAUUAUUAACUGGUUCUGAUCUUAACUGAACUCUUUGCUCUGCUUUGGACUGAAUUCCUGACAAAAUGUGUGUGAGAUAUCUCGGAUUUGUUCUUUUGGUUUGGUUUCCAGGGGUGCUGCAUGCACAAAGGGCAGAUAACUCUUGUUCUGCUCCCCGCCUGAAUUAUGGUUAUUUUGUCCCCAACCACGAAACAUAUGCUCAUGGAGUCAAGCUCACUUAUGCCUGUGAAAAGGGAUAUAAACCAGUAGUGGCUGGUCGUUGGUGGGCAACAAGCACCUGUCAAAAUGGCACAUGGUUUCAUGAACCAAAAUGUAUAGACGAAGAAGACUGCAUUACACCAGAGAUACCCAAUGCAAAUUACACAACAAGCCCAGAAGUUUGGUAUCAGAAUGGACACGUAUUUAGGGUAACAUGUAAUAAAGGAUAUGAACCCAAAAACCGGGCUGCUACAACCAGAUGUAAUAAAGGACGAUGGACCUCUGUGCUAGUCUGUGAGAAACGUUACGAUUCCUGUGGUGAGCCCCCUCGAAUCCCCCAUGCUGUCAUCAAGCAUGAAUACAAGGAGGUGUUUGCUGCAGAUACACAAGUGUACUAUGAAUGUGAAGAUGGAUAUACUGUAGAGAGAGCAGAAGACACAAAAUCCAUCUUUUGUGUGCUUGGAAACUGGACUGACGGUCCAACAUGCAGAACCGGAUCAACUGGACAGGGUGGUUCUGCAGAGGUGGGAACUGAUGGCGGACACACUUCAUUUGUUACCAUGGAGAUACAACCUGCAGCUGGAGACAAAGGAACCGGAUCAACUGGACAGGGUGGUUCUGCAGGGGUGGGAACUGAUGGCGGACACACUUCAUUUGUUACCAUGGAGAUACAACCUGCAGCUGGAGGAUCUUCUACAACCUCUGGCUCAAAUGGGGGAGACAGCAGUCCUUCAUUUGUACCAAUCAGCCGCUGUGGAACACACCCAGUCCUUGAAAACGGUGUUGUUAUGGAAGUGAAUCAAAUGUCUUUGAAAUACCAAUGUAGCGGCUUUUACACACAAGUCGGCCUAGACACUGUGGUGUGUCACAACGAUGGUACCUGGUCAAAACUGCCCGAGUGUAAAGAGUCAUUCUGUGUCCUGGAUCCUGCUCAGCAUGUUGGGUCCAAUGUUAUAAUAACUACAAAGGAAUAUCUAAAGGAAGGAGAGAAGAAGUAUUUUCCCUGUAUUUGGCAUAGUUAUUUCAGUCUUUUUCAGUGCACUGAAAGAAGAAUAACUAUGUCCAGGUGCAAAGGAACCGGAUCAACUGGACAGGGUGGUUCUGCAGAGGUGGGAACUGAUGGCGGACACACUACAUCUGUUACCAGGGAGAUACAACCUGCAGCUGGAGGAUCUUCUACAACCUCUGGCUCAAAUGGGGGAGACAGCAGUCCUUCAUUUGUACCAAUCAGCCGCUGUGGAACACACCCAGUCCUUGAAAACGGUGUUGUUAUGGAAGUGAAUCAAAUGUCUUUGAAAUACCAAUGUAGCGGCUUUUACACACAAGUCGGCCUAGACACUGUGGUGUGUCACAACGAUGGUACCUGGUCAAAACUGCCCGAGUGUAAAGAGUCAUUCUGUGUACUGGAUCCUGCUCAGUAUGUUGGGUCCAAUGUUAUAAUAACUACAAAGGAAUAUCUAAAGGAAGGAGAGAAGAAGUAUUUUCCCUGUAUUUGGGAUCGUUGGUUCAGUAUUUUUCAGUGCACUGAAAGAAGAAUAACUAUGUCCAGAUGUAAUAGGUACUGAUUGGCAGAGUCACUGCCUGUAAAGUCUAGCAGAGGAGCUACUGCUGGACUCACAACCAAGGCCAAGUUUUGAAGUUCCUCCAUCGGAAACAACUAUGUUAAAAAAAUGUCAUCACAUUUGUAUUUGAUCUUUUCAAACCAGUUAUUGCUUUGAUUCCAUUUUGAUGGAAAAUACAUAAACACAAUGUUGGAGCUGAUUGUUUACCGACAGUCAUCUUAUAUCUUUCUGAUUAGAACUGUUAAUGCACUUUGAAUACAUAAAUAAAGUUUAUGUGGCCUACGGUAGUCUGUAUAAAAUGUUUGACAGAAAUCUUAACAAAGUCCUUCUGAACAUGGAUAUAUCAGUAACAGUAAUAGUAGUAAUGGUCAUAGACAGUAAUUCUUCUAAUAUUGAUCUGCUUGAUACAACAUCAGUGCAAAGCAUGCAGACAGACGGACAGGCAGACUCACAAAUGCCAUGGUCAGUUUCAAUGAUGUCACAACUUUAUUUCUCAGUCAGUGAGGAAUCUUAUAUUUAGAUUUAAAAUCUUUUGAGUGUGGGUUUUAUUAUCCAACGCUCACUAUACAAAGCUGACUUAAUUCAAGUAAAUGUCACUUUUUUGUCAGUUUGAUCUUAUUUGGAGUUAUUUUAGCUUGACACAAGGGACAUAUUAGCUAUAGGACCUCCAGUAUGCUUUGACACUGACUUUAAGACGUUUCAAAACAAAAACAUCUUAUUUCAAGUUUUAGUCUUUGGGCUUACAUUACCGUAUUCUUGACUUUAUCUUGGAGGAAGAUAUCUAAUUUUAAGAUGAAGAUUUUUGUUUGCAUUAGUUCAUUUUUGUCACACCUGUUGAUGACAGUAGCACCUCAGAUGAUUUAUAUUCCUUUCAGUAAAACAUACAAAACUAUAGUCUCUGAAUAAUCAUUACAAUCCCCAAUGAAAUAGACCAGAAUGAAGCAGAUGUAGGUAACUGACUCAUACUCUACAUGAGAUGAUUCAAUGUGCAGGUUUAGUGUAUAUCAGAUAUUACAAACCUUCACUGACUUCACCAAAGCUGAGUAUUUGCUCUGAAGAGGUUUGCUCUUACGAUGAGUCAAUUUAGAGAUCACCAGAUUUAAACUUUAACAGGCUUGUUACUUGGACCUGUUUUGUCAUUCACAAUGUUAAUAAUAAUAUCUGCUCUUGUAAGUGGAUGGUUAGUUGAGUCUCAUCCUAACAUCAUGGUAGAGUAUGAGAUCUGAGUGUAUUAAAGGUAUGUGUUGUUCUCCGAAGUAACUGAUGACCAAAUGUGUGUUUUUAGAUAUUAUGUAAAUCCAGAAGUGGACCAGACUGAUAAAUAACUGAAUCAAGGCAGGCACAAGACUGACCUCUGAUCACACCAGGCCAGGAAAUUAUUUUGAAAUUUGGACUCUAAAUAAUCAAAUUGAUUGUUGUAGAGAGAGUUAUACAGCAAAUGAUCCAUUGGUAGUAUUUUAGUUCUACACAGAAAUACACUAAUCAUUGUCACAGGUCUUUCCCAAACAAAUAAAUAAAAACAAUAAAUACAAAUAACAGUGUGCUUCUCCUUGAAGUUCAUAAUGUGACAGUAAAUGAAUGAAAUUAAUUAACAGUAUCAUCUGAGGUCAAGAAACAAAACCGAACACAGUCAGGUUUGUUCAUUUAACCAAGAUAGAUUAACAAAAGUGACUGAUCUGAAUUUGAAGUGUUGCAAACAUUUAUUUCUCAUAUUGACAAUAAUUAACUAUUAAAGUAACGUAAAAAAAAUUUGAGUUUGACUGUAUUUCUGUAUUCCUAUAGGUGUGUGUGUGUGUGUGUGUGUGUGUGUGUGUGUGUGUGUGUGUGUGUGUGUGCGCGUGCGUGCGUGCGUGCGUGCGUGCGUGCGUGCGUGCGUGUGUGUGUUGUGUGUUUGGUCAACAAAUGUUUUGGGGGAAGGCUCUCAUCAGUUAUUAACUGGUUCUGAUCUGGACUAGGCUUUCAGUUCUACGUUUUCGCGGGACGAUUUAGCUCCUGACAAAAUGUGCAUCAGAUAUCUUGGAUUCCUUCUUCUGAUUUGGUUUCCUGGAGGGCUGCAUGCACAAAGUGCAACACAGUCCUGUGCUGCUCCCAGACUGGAUGGUGGUUUCUUUGUCCCAAAACAAGAGACUUAUUCUGAUGGAACCACUCUGAGCUUUACCUGCAAUAACGGAACCUGGACUGAAGGCCCAACGAGCAGGAGAGGAACUGGAUCAGACACUGGACGUGGUGGAUCCACAGUGGGAGGAGCAGGUGGGGGACACACUACACUGACUGGCAGUGGGACACAACCUGCAGGUACAGGAUCUUCUACAACCUCUGGCUCAAAUGGGGGAGACAGCAGUCCUUCAUUUGUACCAAUCAGCCGCUGUGGAACACACCCAUUCCUUGAAAACGGUAUUGUUGUGGACGUGAAUCAAAUGUUUUUGAAAAACCAAUGUAACGGCUUUUACACACAAGUCGGCCCAGACACUGUGGUGUGUCACAACGAUGGUACCUGGUCAAAACUGCCCGAGUGUAAAGAGUCAUUCUGUGUACUGGAUCCUGCUCAGUAUGUUGGGUCCAAUGUUAUAAUAACUACAAAGGAAUAUCUAAAGGAAGGAGAGAAGAAGUAUUUUCCCUGUAUUUGGGAUCGUUAUUUCAGUAUUUUUCAGUGCACUGAAAGAAGAAUAACUAUGUCCAGAUGUAAUAGGUACUGAUUGGCAGAGUCACUGCCUGUAAAGUCUAGCAGAGGAGCUACUGCUGGACUCACAACCAAGGCCAAGUUUUGAAGUUCCUCCAUCGGAAACAACUAUGUUAAAAAAAUGUCAUCACAUUUGUAUUUGAUCUUUUCAAACCAGUUAUUGCUUUGAUUCCAUUUUGAUGGAAAAUACAUAAACACAAUGUUGGAGCUGAUUGUUUACCGACAGUCAUCUUAUAUCUUUCUGAUUAGAACUGUUAAUGCACUUUGAAUACAUAAAUAAAGUUUAUGUGGCCUACGGUA